rnacentral:rRNA from 1 species
GACGAACGCUGGCGGCGUGCCUAAUACAUGCAAGUAGAACGCAGUUGCGACCGGGUGAGUAACGCGUAGGUAACUGCCUGGUAGCGGGGGAUAACUAUUGGAAACGAUAGCUAAUACCGCAUACUACCCGAUGGACCUGCGUUGUAUUUGCUAGUUGGUGGGUGAACGGGUCACCAAGGCAACGAUGCAUAGCCGACCGUAGGGGGGUGUCGGCGAGACUGGGACUGAGACACGGCCCAGACUCCUACGGGAGGCAGAAGUAGGGAAUCUUCGGCAAUGGGGGGAACCCUGACCGAGCAACGACGCGGGAGUGAAGAAGGUUUUCGGAUCGUAAAGCUCUGUUGUUAAGGAAGCGGUACUUAACCAGAAAGGGACGGCUAACUACGUGCCAGCAGCCGCGGUAAUAC